UACGUAGGGGGCAAGCGUUGUCCGGAAUCAUUGGGCGUAAAGCGCGUGUAGGCGGUUCGGUAAGUCCGCUGUGAAAGUCGGGGGCUCAACCCUCGGAUGCCGGUGGAUACUGUCGAGCUUGAGUACGGAAGAGGCGAGUGGAAUUCCUGGUGUAGCGGUGAAAUGCGCAGAUAUCAGGAGGAACACCAAUGGCGAAGGCAGCACUCUGGGACGUGACUGACGCUGAGACGCGAAAGCGUGGGGAGCAAACAGG
rnacentral:rRNA from 1 species